rnacentral:rRNA from 1 species
AACGACGCUGGCGGCAUGCCUAACACAUGCAAGUCGAACGGACCUUUCGGGGUUAGUGGCGGACGGGUGAGUAACACGUGGGAACGUGCCUUUAGGUUCGGAAUAAGCUCGGGAAACUGGGUCUAAUACCGAAUGUGCCCUUCGGGGGAAAGAUUUAUCGCCUUUAGAGCGGCCCGCGUCUGAUUAGCUAGUUGGUGGUGUAAUGGACCACCAAGGCGACGAUCAGUAGCUGGUCUGAGAGGAUGACCAGCCACAUUGGGACUGAGACACGGCCCAAACUCCUACGGGAGGCAGCAGUGGGGAAUCUUGCGCAAUGGGCGAAAGCCUGACGCAGCCAUGCCGCGUGUAUGAUGAAGGUCUUAGGAUUGUAAAAUACUUUCACCGGUGAAGAUAAUGACUGUAGCCGGAGAAGAAGCCCCGGCUAACUUCGUG